CUCUGUGAAUUUAUUGAGUUGAACAUAUGUAUGCUCAUGACUUCCACAGUAUAAUGUAGGAAUGACUUCCACUGUUUAACAUGUUGUGUGAUGGAAAAAUGUCUCUGUUUUCAUACUUUUUGGCUUGCUGCUUGUCUGCCUGUUGACCUGAUGCCUGACUUGCCCUUGGAUGCCCAGGAUAUGAAAGAUUUCUGCCUGAGUCUGCCCUGGUCUCCUUUCUUCCAGUCUGAGAUCUCCCACCUAGAUGCUGAAAAGAUUUUCUUCUUGUAACCUUGAACCCUUCCACAAGCCCAUCUCCAUGCCCACAUUUAGUAAGCCUGAGCUUCUGGCCCAAUGGAUGGAUUUUGAACCAUCCCCAACACAUCCUCGCUCCUGCUCUUCCCAGCAAGCCCCGAGUGCAUGGUCUCUAUGUUGUCCCUUCCAGUUUACAGACCUAAGGCACAGCCUUGGAGAGGGGAGCCCAGCAGGAGCAGAGCAGCAAGCCAAAGGCUAAAUCGUUCCCAAGGUUUCUGGUGGCUUACUGCAUGCAGAAACCCAACACACAGGACAGGCUUGCCAUGCGGAUGAGGUGUCAGUAGCUUUGAAAUCCUCGUCGUGAGGCUGGGGCCCCUGUUUGCAGCUCAGCACUGUGCCACAUCUCCUUUGGCUGGGGCUCAUUUGCGGUGCUGUCAGAGCACCAACAGGUCCCAUACAGCAGCGCACGGAUUCAAGGCAUUCUCCUGGUGUAUCCAUCACUAUCUCCGUCUCAUUGCCAAGCACUUCAAGCUUUCAUCAGAUCAAUUUUCUCCCUUUGAAAGAAAAGAGGCUUGUUAUCUUGUGUGCGGGGCAGUGGGAACCACUCACCUGCCUCUUCCCAGGGUGCUGUGCAGGUGUGGAGGGGCUUGGGGAGCAUGGGGAAAGCAGCUCAGGGGUCUGGCUGUGCUCACUGUAAGCCUUUGAAAUAUUGAGAAUGGCUCAGUGGCUGGAUGGAGGCUUGCAAGGGGUGGACAGAUGACCAAAUGUCUGUAAUAGGUGGAUUUUAUGGGCUUCUGCUGUUUUCUGGAGGCAUGCCUUCUGCAUGGGCUUCUCAUCCCCAGACUCGUUGCUUUGAGAAGGCGAAGGCAGGGAAGCAGGAGUGAGGAAACACGGGCUGAAUUUUGCCCAGGUCUCAUUGGAGAGGGAAGUAGUGGGGGGUAUCAGCAAGGUGCUCUGUGUCCCUCAGGUCUGUGUGGGGCCAGUCCCGAGUGUGGGUUUUGUUGGUCCUGCCCUCAGCUCUGGUUCCUCGUCCCAAAGCCCUCCCUGCCAGGCCGCCUGUUCUCCCCGCUGACCGCCCACUGCUCUGAAAUCACUCCCCAUGGAGUCGAGCGGUUCAAAGACAACAGAGGCACGAGAUUAAUCAUUCCUUCCCUGCUUCUUCUCCCCCCAGCCCAAAUGGCUAAAGUGUCUUUAUUAUUAAAAAACAAAAUAAGACACAAAACAACACACACAAGAAAAGCCCUAGCAAGGUAGACAGACACAAAGCAAAGGAAAAGGAAAGGGUUAGGCUGCGAGCCGCAAAUAAGCACCAUCAAUCAUAGUGCAGUCAAAAAAUGUACAUGUGUUGGUACCUGCGUGUUAUUGGCAGGACUCAAGAAGCCUCCUGAGUACAA